rnacentral:rRNA from 1 species
AUUGAACGCUGGCGGCAGGCCUAACACAUGCAAGUCGAGCGGAUGAAGGGAGCUUGCUCCUGGAUUCAGCGGCGGACGGGUGAGUAAUGCCUAGGAAUCUGCCUGGUAGUGGGGGAUAACGUCCGGAAACGGGCGCUAAUACCGCAUACGUCCUGAGGGAGAAAGUGGGGGAUCUUCGGACCUCACGCUAUCAGAUGAGCCUAGGUCGGAUUAGCUAGUUGGUGGGGUAAAGGCCUACCCAGGCGACGAUCCGUAACUGGUCUGAGAGGAUGAUCAGUCAAACUGGAACUGAGACACGGUCCAGACUCCUACGGGAGGCAGCAGUGGGGAAUAUUGGACAAUGGGCGAAAGCCUGAUCCAGCCAUGCCGCGUGGGUGAAGAAGGUCUUCGGAUUGUAAAGCACUUUAGGUUGGGAGGAAGGGCAGUAAGUUAAUACCUUGCUGUUUUGACGUUACCAACAGAAUAAGCACCGGCUAACUUCGUG